CUUUUGGACAAGAUCAAUGUUAUGUCUUCUAUUAUCCUUGUGCUUGUGGCAGCACCCAGCUCAAUGCACACGAGAAACGUAGAAGAACAACU